CUGCUUUCUCUUUUUUCCCCUCGCUCUUUGCACCGGGGGGCUCUGCUUUUGCCUUUGCAAAGGUCCUGCCAAGAUGCUAAGUUGGAAAUUGAGGAUUCUGACGCCUUGUGCGCGCCCGAAGCUCCUCCUUCCCGGGGUGUAGUCGGUGGGAGGACUGGCAGGAGCUUCUGGGCGGCCGCAGCCAACCCGGCCGCCAGGCGCGCCUCGCCCUCUCCCUCUUCCUCCUCGGCUCUCUCUCCCGCUCGCUGGCGCUCCUCUCGCCCCUCCCUAGCGCCCGCCUCCCCUCCGCGGCCCCCCCUCUCACCCCUCCUCUUUGCCUCCCCUUUUCCCCUCCCCGGUCUCUCCCUCUCUCUCGCUUUCUCUCAGACUCUCGAGCGCCGGCCCCAGGAUGACAAUCACAUCCCAGGAGCGCCGAUCUCUUCCAACUUUCCUCUUCUGCUAACUCGGGGCGGAGUGGCAGUCCCGCCGCCCCGAAGCACAAAGGGAACGAGGCCGCGGGCUGUGCGCCGGCGAACGCUCUGCGCUCUCCUAGCCACAGUAGAUCGCGGACUUAGCGGAUUUCUUGUUCUCCGGCAGGCUGGGCUCCGAGGCCAUUCGUUGCCCACCCCCCUCUGGCGUCUUCCCCAAGCCAGGGGGCCCGGAGAGCCAGCUGGAGAUCCGGAAUGAAAGUCUCUGGGAGAGCCGAUGGAUGGCCCGCGCCCAGGGCGCAGGAAGUCCGGGAUGACUGCCCCUCUGCGCCGGCAGCAGCAGGUGGGCGAGAGACAGGCCUCAGACGUCUGCACGUCUCCGCCUCGCCUUCCUUCUACCGACCCCCCGCCGGACGGCGAGGGAGAAGACACUGGUUCCUGGAACUACCGGGGUAGCCUUUUUCUAGAGUAGGGGUGGUGGGCAAGAACUGCCAGACAGAGAAUCAGCUACACCCGAGGAGAUCUCGGGACCGUCCCCAGCUCCACUCCCACGCCUCGCAGCCUCUUUCUCCCGGUUUUCCCACCGCACGCAGCUCGCACCGCCAAGUCGGUGGUGGUGGAGGGUGCGGGUCCCCUUCCCUUUUGUUUAACUAAGUCGCCUUCCCCUUCGCACGCACUCUCGCAUCCGCCCACGCUCCACUGCAAACACUGGGCAGAGCAGUGCCCAACCCAACCACUGUUUGUUCAGCGAGGCGCUGGCGAAGCAAACACACACAACUGAGUCAGAGGCAGAGCCCUUGCCCACGACGGCCACACAGUUAGAAUACAAAACAGACCCUCUCCUCUUCUCUCCACCUCCCGCCACCACAAGCCACGGACGCACUCGAACUCUGGGACAGACAGGGGCGCUGGUGAACCAGGACAGAAGAUGGCACAGGUUUGGGCACGCCGCGGAAGCUCGGGAUAUCGGGAACUUCGCAUAAUGGGGCCACACGCAAGCCGAAGCAUAACUAUAUACAAAGUUUCUCGCAUUGACUUUGACGGGCGAGAUGUACUUUAUUUCGCGAUCUCACACUAACCCAGCGCCGCACCGGCACCCGCUCGGUGCUGCGCUCUCGUGCACGCGCGUUGGCUCCUCCCCUCCGUCUGCUCCCCUCCCCCAGACACCGCCCACCAAGAGGCCUGAGCGGUUCAGACUACAUUCUCCGAGAGCCCCUGGGUCCGCCCAGCCCAGUGCCUGACACCUCCUUCACCUAUGAUUGGGCGCUGGCCUCCCUGGGCUCCGCCCCCUGGUGACGUAACCCCGCUUUCCUCCGAGUCUCGGCGCCAGAGGGGCGGGGAGGGGCGGGGUCUCGAUCGCGCUAUUGUCAUGGAGACGGGAAGCUGGCUGCAGCGGCGGCGGGGACCGUGGGGCCGAGGUGGCUGCCAGCCGGCCAAUGUCUAAGCGAGGCGGAGCGGCCCAGGCGGCCCGAGCCUGGGGGAGCGCGCAGCCGGCCAGUGGCGGCCUCGCCGGCGGCCUCUUCCCGGGCUCGCAGUAGGCCCGAGUCGUCGCCGGGAGCUCCUGGGAGCAGCGUCCCCGCCCUGCUCCCCUCGCUCCCGCCUCUUGCGGCCCCACGGCCCCUCAGCGCCCGCCCCCGGCUCCGCCCGCCGCAGCCGCAGCCCCUGGCGCUAACGGUCGGUAACGGCCCGCGCGCGCCGCCCGCCGGGGGCUCGCGCCAGCCACGAGGGAGCGUCCGCGGCCCGCGCGCCCGCGCGGCGGAGGAGAGGUGUUAAGUGUGAUGCUUCCAUAAUACAUUUGGAUGCUGUCAGCUAAGUUCACUUCUGAACUAAGGGGUUCCUCCAAAUGUUGGCUGAAAUUCAUCCCAAGGCUGGUCUGCAAAGUCUGCAAUUCAUAAUGGAGCUACUGUACUGGCUAUUGGAAGGAGGAGAUUCUGAAGAUAAGGAGGUAAAACCUGUUUAGAAAUUAAAAAUGAGUUACGAUUUAAAGAAAAUUCAGAUGACUCAUUGUGAGUGCUAGUUCUCUUGUAGGAUGCCACUGGAAAUGUUGAAAUGAAAAAUAUUCAGCCGUUGGUCUUUGAAAUUUCCUGUGAUGUGUUUCAAUCUAGAUGCAAAGAACAUGGAAAAAUCAAAGUGCUCGAGUGGUUUAAAUAUGUUUUGGGUAUUCCUGUUUAUAGACUAUAAUACUUUUCCAAUUAAAAUCCUCAGUUGUCACGCAGAAGAAGGUUAAGCUGUAUUUGAUUGCCAGUUUUACUGAAAAUGCUUAGUAUUUUACAGUAUCACCAAAUAUAUUUUGUUUAGCCAAGGUAUAGGAAAAAUAAAAUAAAUUGUAUAGGUUGACUUUUUUCUAAAAUGUCUUUAUUGGAUUGAAUGAAUGUUUAUACCUGAAAAAAAAAGGUUCAAAAAAAUUCCUUUUUCUAUCAGAGUCAUUCUUUUGACAAUCAGAUAUUAGACUAGGUUUAAAAUAACUUUCUAAUAUGACUCAUAUUUAUGGGAGGAAAAAGACUUGAAAGAUAUUCCUAUGUGUACUUUAAUUUUCUGUAAUAGUCCCUCUGGAAUAGAAUAUCUCUUCCUCAAACAAAUCUAUUGGCUCAUUUCAUAUACAAGAAAAAGUUGCCCUAAAUGGCAGAGUUUCAUCUCUGUAAAGAAGGCUGACAUCCACUUCCUUCACAGAAUCCCUGCAUUUGGGUAAUUGAGUAAUGAUAGAUUACCUUGCCAUUGGGAAAUACCUUGUUGUGGCCUUUGUAGCAGCUAUAGGAAGAUGGAAGAAUUCUUUUGUAUAGACAGGUCUCUAGCCUCUUUGGUGUGGACACUGUGAAGGGGUACAUCUGGUGAGAAGGAGUGCUUAGGGAAGGAACUGGGAAGGUCCACAAAGGCUGAUGAUGACAAAGAAUCCAAGGGCUAUGAUGAAUUCUUAAGCUUAGAUCUCAGAGUCAUAAAGUAAAUUUAUUAGGCUAGAGAGAUUUCCUUUUUUAUUUUUGAUCAAACUUUAUUUUUUCAGAUUGUUAAGUUCACAUGCAGUUGUACAAAAUAAUACAGAGAUCUUUGAACACUACCCAGUUUCUCCUAAUAGUAACUUCUUGCAAUAUACUGUAUAGCACAGCAUCACAACCUGGAUACUGACAUUGAUGCAGUCAAGACAGAGAACAUUUAUAUCAUGAGGAGGAUCCCUCAUUACCGCCCUUUGAUAUCCACCCCUACUUCCAGACCAUCUCACUCCUCCCUUAACCCUGGCAACCACUAGCAUGUUCUCCAUUUCUAUAAAUUUGCCUUUAUAGGAAUGUUAUAUAAUUGCAAUUAAAGUGUGUAACCUUUUGGGGUUUGACUCACCCGGCAUCAUUUUCUGGAGAUUCAGCUUAUAUGUGUCAAUAGUUUGUUCCCUUUUUUUUAGUUCAGUAGUAUUCUGUGGUACGUGUGUACCACAUCACUCAUCAAUUCGGACUUCUGGGUUGUAUCUGGUAUUUGAUUAUUACAAAUAGAAGUACUAUAUAUAUAUUCGUGUAGAGGUUUCUGUGUGAACAUAAACUUUCAUUUUCCUGGGACAGAUGCCCACGAGUGAAAAUUGUGAGUCAUAUGGUAAUUAUGUAGAGUAUUUUUUUUUUGAGACGAUUUGUUUAUGAUUUUAAAACAUAAAAAUAUAAGUUGUAGCCAAAUAUAAGGAAGGAUUUUUCCACAAUCUAGACUUUAUUCUUAUUUUAGAGAAAUACUUUUGAAAAAAUUGCUUUAUUGGCAAACAAUUCCUAUGUAAAGGAAUAAAAGACGCAUAUACUCUAGGAAAGAUGUUGCAAAGCUGACAGGCAACUUUGAGAAAGAUGAGGGCAGUUUUCCAGUGUUACUGGAGACUUGACAUUCAAGGAUGUAUUAUGAUAGUUUCUGAAUUGAUAGAUUCUUUAGCGUUUGUCACUACCCUCAGGCCUGCAGUUUUUAUUUGUAGAAUUAACUCAUCUUUACAAUGCUUUGUUGAGUGCUGUUGCAGAAAAUGCUCAUGUAAUUCAAUUAUAUGCAGUUAGGAAAAAGAAGUAUCUUUUUCUAGUACAUGGCCCCUAAAAUGAUGACUUUCCACAAUGCUGAAUGGAGGAAACAGCUCUGUUUCCAUCAAACUCUGGUGGAAAUUAUACAAAGUUAUAUUAUGCUUUAUGAGACAUAGUGAGGUAGUACACAACCAUAUAUGCUAUAUUAUUGGGGAGACCCACUGAAAGAAUUUUCAAGGAUAAUUUUUGCUCUGAUUUUCUAUCAUGUAUAUUGACUUUAUUGAUUGAUUGAUUGAGAUGGAGUCUCACCCCGUCACCCAGGCUGAAGUGCAGUGGUGCAAUCUCUGCUCACUGCAACCUCCGCCUCUCAGGUUCAAGUGAUCCUCGUGCCUCAGCCUCCCGAGUAGCUGAGACUAUAGGUGUGUGCUACGAUGCCCAGCUAAUUUUUGUAUUUUUAGUAGAGACAGGAUUUGGUAGCCUGGUCUCGAACUCCUGACCUCAGGUGAUCUACCCACCUUGGCCUCCCAAAAUACUGGGAUUACAGGUGUGAGCCACCGUGCUGGCCAAGUAUAUUGACUUUAAAACGUUACCGGCUGGGCGUGGUGGUUCACGCCUGUUAUCCCAGCACUUUGGGAGCCCGAGGCGGAUGGAUUACCUGAAGUCAGGAGUUCGAGACCAGCCCAACCUGGUGAAACCCCGUCUCUACUAAAAAUACACAAAUUAGCCGGGCGUGGUGGCAGGCGCCUAUAAUCCCAACUACUGGGAAGGCUGAGGCAGGAGAAUUGCUUGAACCUGGCAGGCGGAGGCUGCAGUGAGCCAAGACUGCGCCACUGCACUCCAGCCUGGGCAACAAGAGCAAAACUCAGUCUCAAAAAAAACAGAAAAAAAAAGUUACCACGGGUGAAACAUUGGGCUGGUCACAGUGAUCCUUCUAACAGCAGUCAAUAUUAUAAAUCUAGCUUUUUUUUUUGAGUGAGAUACUAGGCCCAGGGAACCCGAGUCUUUCAAUCCUCAUGAAUAUAGUUUAAUCUUUAGCUCAUUAUGGUCAUGACCAUAGUUAAAUAAAUGACACGAGAUAAUAAAAUAGUCUUUGCCCUUAAAACUGACCUGGGUAAAAGGAUGUACACUUGAAUCUUUGAAUACCAGAAUAGUCAUUCAUUCAUUGAGCCGUGUUGUAGCAUCCCAUCUUCUGGCACUUCCAGCACUGGGAACCCAUCAUAAAGAAGGCACUACAGGCCAGGCGCUGUGGCUCACGCCUGUAAUCCCAGCACUUUGGGAGGCCAAGGCAGGCGGAUCACCUGAGGUCAGGAGUUCGAGACCAGCCUGGCCAACAUGGUGAAACCCCAUCUCUACUAAAAAUACAAAAAGUAACUGGGCAUGGUGGCAGGCGCCUGUAAUCCCAGCUACUUGGGAGGGUAAGGCCAGAGCAUCGCUUGAACCCGGAAGGCAGAGGUUGCAGUGAGCCAAGAUCCUGCCAUUGCACUCCAGCCUGGGGGAUAAGAGCGAGACUUCGUCUAAAAAAAAUAAAAAUAAAAAGGCACUACAGCACCUGUUCUCUUAGUGUAGCUCUAUUAGCUCUUAGACUAGGGGGUAGGGAUGGGAAAAAGUAAAAAGAAACUGAGAAACCAAUCUAAUUACGCAUAAUCAGAAAUCCAAAGCUUCCAGAAUUCAUGAGGAAAAAGAACUGCAGCUGAUGGAGUAGGCAUUACAGAGAAUGAGAGGCUUGCUUUUUUUUUAAGUUUCAUUUUAUUUGUAAUUGACACAAUAGCACAUAUUUACGGGAUACAGUGUGACAUUUUAAUACAUUUACAUAUUGUGUAAUGAUCAAAUUAGGAUAAUUAGCUUAUGUAUCACUUCAAAAACAUAAUUUCUUUGUGAUGAGAACAUUCAAAAUCUUCUAGUAUUUUGAAAUACAUAAUGCAAUAUUGUUAACCACAAUCACCCUACUGUGCAAUAGAACACCAGAGUUUACUCCUCUUUUCCAUCUGUAGCUUCAGACCCAUUGACCAAUCUCUCCCCUUCGCCCCCCACCACCCCCCCCCCCGCCGUCACCACUCUCCUCCCCUCCCCAGCAAGAGGCUUGAAUCUUGAAGGAGCACAUCAGAUAGAAAGAGGGAAAUCAACUGGGACAUGGUUUGUUGGAAGUGGGGUGGAAUCUGGUUUGUUUACAGUUUCAGAGUUUGAGGCAUCAAAAGUGUAUGUCAUUGCCCAAAAGUAUUUAACAGCUUUCUAUGUUUUAGGAAUUCACUAGAAAUAAGGCAUGCUUUUUAAAAAAGAAAAAAAAUAGUAAUCUUUGAAUUUAAAUAUGUGGGUUUCCAUGAAAAACAAAUGAGUACCCUUCCUUGAAAAACUACUACUUUGAAGAGUCUCGUAGGUUCUGAGGCUCGUGUGUGUGUGUGGGUGUGUGUGUAUAAAACAUUUUCUUUUAUAUUUGGUAAGAAGGAAUAAGGUAUUUUAUACUUUUCUGGUCUGUUAAAUGCAUAAUCUAUAAGACUAUAAUACUUUAAAAAAUUUUAGUUUAUCUGAGGCUUAAAAUAACAAAAGAACUUAAAGCUCCUGUGGAAGAGCUCCAAAAUUAAAACUGUAAGAUCACAUAUAGAUAAAACGUUAUAUAAAGCAGGCUUUGGGACCCCAGGCAUGAUGGCUCAUUCCUGUAAUCCCAGCACUUUGGGAGGCCAAGGUGGGUGGAUCACCUGAACCCAAAAGUUCGAGACCAGCCUGAGCAACAUGGUGAAACCCUGUCUCUACAAAAUACAGAAAAAAAAAAUAUUAACCAAUUUUUUUAACCUCCCAGCUACUUGGGAGGCUGAGAUGGGAGGAUGGCUUGAGCCUGGGGAGGUCGCGGCUGCAAUGAGUCAUGAUCGCGCCACUGCACUCCAGCCUGGGUAAUAGAUUGAAACUCUGUCUCCACACACACACACACAAAUGACUUUUGGUAAGACUGUACAUAGAGUUUAUGGCCUUAUUAAGAAACUCUUUUGAGCAACCUAAGAAAACACAAGUAUUUCUGUACAUUACUUUGUUAAAGUGUACAGGAUAAUAAGAGAGAGCUAAGAGCCUUUUCUAAAUGUGCAUCCAAUUUUAAGAGGCUAAAAUAGGAAGCUUUCAUAUAGCCAAGGCCCCAUUAACUUGGGAAUCUGGAAAACAGAAGACGUAAGUUUCUAUCAGAGUUUCUUUAAAUUUAUGUAAAUCAUAAAUUUGAGCAAGGCAGUUAUAAAAGACAUUAAAAUUAAGAUACUCAGGAUUUUAUAUGUAAUAAUAUUGAUUCCAAUAUCUUCAACACUAUGGCAUUGCCAAUGAGGAGACCAAAAUGAAUUGUAUUUUAUGAAAGGGCUAUAUUAGACCAGUGACUUAAAAGUUCCAAGUACAUAUAAUGACAAAGCGUUGUGGAAUCAUCUUGUACUACUGUUUAUGUAGUAGUUUAAAAAAAAAAAGAAAAAGAAAAUGGUGCAAUUUUAGACAGUUUAAAAAAAUUUUACAAAUACUGCAAAUCAUAGGUUGGUUACCACUAGACUUCCUGACUGCAGUGGUUGCUGUAUUCACUGUACAUUCUUUUAAAACACCAGGCACUUUAUAAUUUUGUCUAUAAUUGUUUAUAUAUUUUUUCUUCACAACAUGUUUUAGAAUAACUUAUUGCUAAGUUACUUCAACGUAUGUGCCAUCUUUAAACUUUAUAUAUGAGUAUACUAAAGUGUCAUUUGCAAGACACAUCUAUGCACUAUUUUUUUUUUCAGGAGCCUCUUUAUUCAAAAUACUUUUAAAUGCAGUGCAUAAAAAUAGCAGGCCACUUCCACUUGCAGGCUUUUGAAGCUGGAGAAGACUUGUUUUUCACAUGAGGAAACUGAGUCCCAGCAAGGUGAAAUGACUUGCUAGUAAGUGAUACGAUUAAACUUAUUUUUUGACUCCAAAGCACAUUCUGCCAACUUGAAGAUGCUUGUCCCAACUUCUGGAAAUUCACCCUAUCAACGUCUGUAUCACAACCCCAUUCUUAAUAAUAGUUUCUUCACAUUAGAAAUAAAUGUCAGAAAUAAAUGUCUACUUGUCAUUUGUACAUGUCAUGCAAACAUCUUGGCACCAGAUAUGGGUACAAGUAGAAAGCAUCAGCGUGUUCAUCUAAGAACUGGAUUUUAUCCAAUGGAAUGUUCUGUUUAUUCAUUGCUAUUCAUGCAUACCUGCUGUGUUUUAACGUUGUGAUAAAUCCAGAGAAUCAAAUAUGAAUAAAAAUACUCCCUGAAUUCAACAAAGUAGGCAUUGGCUCUGGCCAGGGGACAAAAUGUUAAAUGGCAUGCAGUCUUCACCCUGGCACAACUUGAAGCUUAUCACCUAUUGUAGAGAUGAAGCCAUAAACAGAUCAUUUCAGCACAGCAUGAUAAGGGGGAGCUCCAGGGAUCAUGGUAGUACAUGGGCCCAGUCCCUAAUUAAAUCUGGUGGAGUGUGGGCAAAGUUAAGGAAGGCUUCCUAGAGGAGAGGGCAUUGGGGUUGAUCCCUGGCAGGAACAGGGCUCCAGGCAAGGGGAACAAAGACCAGU
rnacentral:lncRNA from 1 species